CGUCCCCGGGGGUCUGCUGAGGGUGGAUAGUAGCUACCCUAUCCUCCUAAAAGCCCACAGCAGUCGCCGGUUGAUCGGCCCCAUUCUUUGCAGAAUUAUCGAUUUCCGGGACAGCAGUAACCUGUACUGCAUUACUCGAGGCCAAUACGGAAACCGCCGAAGGCUGCUUCGUGGGUUCUCGUUCACUAACAUCGACUGGCACGUUAGCCAGAUGCGUACGUGCAGGGAGUAAAAGCUGUCCAUGCCAAAACGGAAUUUGCCCAGUAGCAACUACCAUUUUCCCGCUGGACAGUCGUAAACAACAGAACACAGAGAGUGCAUGACGUUAUUUUAGUGUUGGUCAUUGACACAGACAUUUCUGAUGACUGUCACAUGCAGAAAAGGGGAGCAUCCAUUUGAUUACCCCGAGCGCUCUAAACAAAGGCCAAAAUGGAAAAGUAAUGAUGUUCAGGGUCCAGUGAUGUCUGCAAAUGGAUGCCGACCAGUUAGGCUGCAUCACCAAUGUGACCAGACAAAUAUUUUGCCCCACAAGCGUCUGGGAGUAGAGCUUGAAUAAACACAUAUUCUAAUAUGCACUGACAGCUUUAUGAUGAUAUAAAAAUCACAAUAAAUAGAUUGACUCAU